AGUGAACGCUGGCGGUAGGCCUAACACAUGCAAGUCGAACGGCAGCACAGUAAGAGCUUGCUCUUACGGGUGGCGAGUGGCGGACGGGUGAGGAAUACAUCGGAAUCUACUUUUUCGUGGGGGAUAACGUAGGGAAACUUACGCUAAUACCGCAUACGCCCUACGGGUGAAAGCAUGGGAUCUUCGGACCUUGCGCGAUUGAAUGAGCCGAUGUCGGAUUAGCUAGUUGGCGGGGUAAAGGCCCACCAAGGCGACGAUCCGUAGCUGGUCUGAGAGGAUGAUCAGCCACACGAGAAGUGAGACACGGUCAAGACUCCUACGGGAGGCAGCAGUGGGGAAUAUUGGACAAUGGGCGCAAGCCUGAUCCAGCCACACCGCGUGGGUGAAGAAGGCCUUCGGGUUGGAAAGCCCUUUUGUUGGGAAAGAAAAGCAGCAGGUUAAUACCCCGCUGUUCUGACGGUACCCAAAGAAUAAGCACCGGCUAACUUCGUG
rnacentral:rRNA from 1 species